rnacentral:rRNA from 1 species
UACGUAGGGUGCGAGCGUUAAUCGGAAUUACUGGGCGUAAAGUGUGCGCAGGCGGCCGAGCAAGUCGAGUGUGAAAGCCCCGGGCUUAACUUGGGAAUUGCGCUCGAAACUACUUGGCUGGAGUGUGGCAGAGGGGGGUGGAAUUCCGCGUGUAGCAGUGAAAUGCGUAGAGAUGCGGAGGAACACCGAUGGCGAAGGCAGCCCCCUGGGCUGACACUGACGCUCAGGCACGAAAGCGUGGGGAGCAAACAGG